rnacentral:rRNA from 1 species
UGGGGAAUAUUGCACAAUGGGGGAAACCCUGAUGCAGCGACGCCGCGUGAACGAAGAAGGUAUUCGUAUCGUAAAGUUCUGUCCUAUGGGAAGAUAAUGACAGUACCAUAGAAGAAAGCUCCGGCUAAAUACGUGCCAGCAGCCGCGGUAAUACGUAUGGAGCGAGCGUUGUCCGGAAUUAUUGGGCGUAAAGGGUACGCAGGCGGUUUAAUAAGUCGAAUGUUAAAGAUCGGGGCUCAACCCCGUAAAGCAUUGGAAACUGAUAAACUAGAGUAUGGGAGAGGAAAGUGGAAUUCCUAGUGUAGUGGUGAAAUACGUAGAUAUUAGGAGGAAUACCAGUAGCGAAGGCGACUUUCUGGACACAAACUGACGCUGAGGUACGAAAGCGUGGGGAGCAAACAGG